GCACUGCGAGCAUUGGCUGACGAACCUGGAAUAGUUGACUUGUUUCUAACUAAUGAGUGGCCUACUGGCGUCACAAACAGAGCUACAUCCGAUAUUCCUGCAGGAAUUUCAGAUUCAGCUGGUAGUGAUUCUACUAUAUCUGAGUUAGUAGCAGAGAUCAAACCACGCUAUCACAUUGCAGGUGCUAAAGGUCUAUUUUAUGCUCGUGAACCUUACUCUAACAUUGAUGCUGUGCAUGUUACCCGCUUCUUUGGUCUUGCAUCAGUUGGAAAUAAGGAUAAACAGAAAUUUAUCCAUGCAAUUUCUCCUACUCCAGGAUCUACAAUGACUGCUGUGGAGAUUAGCAUGAAGCCCUCUAACACUACUUCAUCCCCAUACACCUUUUCAGAGCAAACAGUUCAUCCUAAAGAAACCACCAAGAGGCCUAGUGACAGUGUGUCUGAUUCUCAAUAUUGGAGAUAUGAUGUCUCCCAAAAACGUCAGAAAGCUGGAGCUAGAGAUGGUGAUAAACUGUGUUUUAAAUUUAUUUAUUCUGGUUCUUGUCCACGAGGGGAAAAAUGCCACUUUCAGCAUGACAUGGAUGCAAGGGAACAAUAUUUAAGAGGUGUUUGUAUUGAUUUUCUUAUCAAAGGAAAAUGCGAAAGAGGUCCAGACUGCAACUUUAAGCACGAUUUGCAGAGCAAAGUUGAGAGCUAUUCUCACAGGAGACAUGGCUCUGAAAAUGCUAACAGGUCAAAAGAGUGCUGGUUUUGUUUGUCAAGCCCCAGCGUGGAGUCACAUCUGAUCAUUAGCAUAGGAGAAAGUUACUACUGUGCCCUGGCCAAAGGUCCCCUUGUUCAAGACCAUGUCCUAUUAAUACCCAUUGAGCACUCACCUAGUACCCUUUCUUUACCGCAAGAAUGUGAAUCUGAACUUGUUAGAUUCAAGAAUAAUCUAAAAUUAUAUUUUAAGAACGGGGGAAAGGAAGCUAUCAUAUUUGAGUGGGUUUCCAAGCGUGGUACUCAUGCUAAUCUUCAGGCUGCUCCUGUUCCAUCAUCUAGAGUGGCUGCUGUUCAGGAUAUAUUUAAUAUGGCUGCUGAUAAACUGGGUUUUAAAUUUGUGGCCAUGAAAUUCGAUAAUAGUUCUGAUAGCAGAAAAUGGUUGAGGGCACAGUUUGAUAGGAACUAUAGUUUCUUCUAUGUGGAACUCCCUGAUGGUACUAUUCUAUCACAUUUGAUUGAGGAGAAUGAGAGAUUUCCGGUGCAAUUUGGACGUGAAGUUCUAGCAGGGUUGUUGAACACACCUGAGAGAGCUGAUUGGAGGACUUGUAAGCUUAGCAAAGAGGAGGAAACAAAAAUGGUAGAAGAAUUCCAGAAAAAAUUUGAAGAGUUGGACCCAACUCGAUGAUUUAUAUUUUAUGCAUAGCACCAUCAGUCUUGUGUUUGAUGCCUAGUAGCUACCACCAUUAUGCUCUUCAUCAUUGAUUUUACUCACAUAAGUACGGGGGGACACUUCAUUAUCCCCUAGCAGAUGAACACCCGGUUUAUCUCAUUUCUUGAACUGGCAGAAUUAGAAGUAAUCUGCUGCAGAUUAACCUCCUCUAGUUUUUGAUUUAUUACAAUCCAAGCUAGAGAUGAGACCCUGACCCAUCCAGGUAUAAGGAAAGCUAGUUCUUUCCCUUGUUUUGCCUCUCAUCUUUCUGAAUUUGGCUUUCAGAUGUAUUUCAUUAUAAUGGAAUUGCAAUUACAUAUUUUAUUAGCUUAUUUCGUUGCAUAAGUUUUUGACAUAAUGUAAUAUUACAUUAUACAAUCAAUUGCGCUUUAAUUAACGUAAGUUUAUAUGAUUAGUCUUUUU
rnacentral:misc_RNA from 1 species